rnacentral:rRNA from 1 species
CCGGGUGAGUAACACGUGACUAACCUACCUUCGAGUGGGGGAUAACCUCGGGAAACCGAGGCUAAUACCGCAUACGACCUGAGGGUGAAAGAUUUAUCGCUCUAGGAGGAGCCCGCGUCGGAUUAGCUAGUUGGUGAGGUAACGGCUCACCAAGGCUAUGAUCCGUAGCUGGUCUGAGAGGAUGAUCAGCCACACUGGGACUGAGAUACGGCCCAGACUCCUACGGGAGGCAGCAGUGGGGAAUAUUGGACAAUGGGGGCAACCCUGAUCCAGCAAUGCCGCGUGAGUGAUGAAGGCCUUAGGGUUGUAAAGCUCUUUCGGCGGGGACGAUGAUGACGGUACCCGCAGAAGAAGCCCCGGCUAACUUCGUGCCAGCAGCCGCGG